AGGGGUAUAGCUCAGUGACAAGAGUGUGUGCUUAGCAUGCACGAGGUCCGAGGUUCAAUCCCCAGUACCUCCA
rnacentral:tRNA from 1 species